rnacentral:lncRNA from 1 species
CUACUUGCAGUCAACAAUUCCUCGAGCCAAUUUAAGACCUAGCAAUCAUUUCAGCAAAAUCAUACCAAUUCAUAGACAAAGCAUCAAACCAUAAAUCCAAAUCUACCAACAUAUGCCAAACAAUUAAUUACAAAGUCCACAAGACAAAUUAAUCAAAAUCAGAACCUAAUUCACUUAGCUAUCUUGUUACUGCAGUAAAAAACUUAAGGAAAGGGGUAAAAAGCAUCAAAGCAAACAUUCCACAAUAGGACAAAGGAAGGUACAAUGUGCAAAGUGGUUUUUUAGAAGAAACACAAAAAUGAACAAACCUAAACCUGCACAAGCAAGUCCGUUACCCCUUUCCUGAUCAAAAACAUCCAAAACCUAAUUGCUCUUCUAUAUAAGCAGUGGUUUCAGAACAAAGACCCGAGGUUUUUGGAGCAUAAAAAGUUUCAGAAGAAAACACAAGAAAUUUCAUUGUUUUGAGUUAAAGUGAGGUGUGAGAGAGAGAAAGAGAGGAACUCACCUGGAUAAUCUUUUUUUACGGUCAUCUUCUCCGACGAAGGUAGACCCAAAAUCCUUCAAUCGUUUGCAUUUAAGUAACUGGUGUGUAAAGACUAAAUAGGGGAACAUUUCCCCUAGGUUUUCAGGGUCGUUUGUUAUGAUUCCUCCAUUUAAUUUCAUUUCCUAUUUCUAGGGUUCAUGUUUUUUUCCUUCGAUUCGAUCAGAUGGUUAGAAAAUGUUUAAUGUGAGUUCAGGGUUUGUGAUCAGUCAACUAAGAGGUUGAGUUUGGUGGGUCUGCGAUGAUGGUUGGAGCUCCGCUGCCGCCGACGAUGAGACCUGAUUUUCACUUCCUUUGGUGUUCGUGGGCUUAGUCCUACUAGGCUUCCUUUCCACACCUUCCUUUUGCUUACCCCAUC